AUUGAACGCUGGCGGCAGGCCUAACACAUGCAAGUCGAGCGAGCGGCGGACGGGUGAGUAAUGUCUGGGAAACUGCCCGAUGGAGGGGGAUAACUACUGGAAACGGUGGCUAAUCCCGCAUACCAUCAGAUGUGCCCAGAUGGGAUUAGCUAUGAGGUGGGGUAAUGGCUCACCUAGGCGACGAUCCCUAGCUGGUCUGAGAGGAUGACCAGCCACGCUGGGACUGGAACACGGUCCAGACUCCUACGGGAGGCAGCAGUGGGGAAUAUUGCACAAUGGGAGCAAGCCUGAGGCAGCCAUGCCUCGUGUGUGAAGAAGGCCUUCGGGUUGUAAAGCACUUUCAGCGAGGAGGCGUUACUCGCAGAAGAAGCACCGGCUAACUCCGUGCCAGCAGCCGCGGUAAUAC
rnacentral:rRNA from 1 species